rnacentral:rRNA from 1 species
UACGUAGGUGGCAAGCGUUGUCCGGAUUUAUUGGGCGUAAAGCGAGCGCAGGCGGAAAGAUAAGUCUGAUGUGAAAGCCCCCGGCUUAACCGAGGAAUUGCAUCGGAAACUGUGUUUCUUGAGUGCAGAAGAGGAGAGUGGAACUCCAUGUGUAGCGGUGAAAUGCGUAGAUAUACGGAGGAACACCAGUGGCGAAGGCGGAUUGCUGGACAGUAACUGACGCUGAGGCGCGAAAGCGUGGGGAGCAAACAGG